UGGCUCAGAACGAACGCUGGCGGCAGGCGUAACACAUGCAAGUCGAGCGCGCCUUUCGGGGUGAGCGGCGGACGGGUUAGUAACGCGUGGGAAUAUGCCCUUUGGUACGGAAUAGCCUCUGGAAACGGAGAGUAAUACCGUAUGAGCCCUUCGGGGGAAAGAUUUAUCGCCAAAGGAUUAGCCCGCGUUAGAUUAGGUAGUUGGUGGGGUAAUGGCCUACCAAGCCUACGAUCUAUAGCUGGUUUUAGAGGAUGAUCAGCAACACUGGGACUGAGACACGGCCCAGACUCCUACGGGAGGCAGCAGUGGGGAAUCUUGGACAAUGGGGGCAACCCUGAUCCAGCCAUGCCGCGUGAGUGAUGAAGGCCUUAGGGUCGUAAAGCUCUUUCGCCUGUGAAGAUAAUGACGGUAGCAGGUAAAGAAACCCCGGCUAACUCCGUGCCAGCAGCCGCGGUAAUACGGAGGGGGUUAGCGUUGUUCGGAAUUACUGGGCGUAAAGCGCACGUAGGCGGAUCGGAAAGUUGGGGGUGAAAUCCCGGGGCUCAACCCCGGAACUGCCUCCAAAACUAUCGGUCUAGAGUUCGAGAGAGGUGAGUGGAAUUCCGAGUGUAGAGGUGAAAUUCGUAGAUAUUCGGAGGAACACCAGUGGCGAAGGCGGCUCACUGGCUCGAUACUGACGCUGAGGUGCGAAAGUGUGGGGAGCAAACAGGAUUAGAUACCCUGGUAGUCCACACCGUAAACGAUGAAUGCCAGUCGUCGGGUAGCAUGCUAUUCGGUGACACACCUAACGGAUUAAGCAUUCCGCCUGGGGAGUACGGUCGCAAGAUUAAAACUCAAA
rnacentral:rRNA from 1 species